GACAGAGGUGCCGAGCGUUAGGCGGAAUCACUGGGCUUAAAGCGUGUGUAGGCGGGUCGUUAAGUACCUUGUGAAAUCCCCCGGCUCAACCGGGGAAUGGCUGGGUAUACUGGCGAUCUUGAGCGAUCCAGGGGCAGAUGGAACAAGUGGUGGAGCGGUGAAAUGCGUAGAUAUCAUUUGGAACGCCAAUGGUGAAAACAGGUAGCUGGGGCUGUGCUGACGCUGAGACACGAAAGCCAGGGGAGCAAACGGG
rnacentral:rRNA from 1 species